rnacentral:rRNA from 1 species
CCAUGCAUGUUUCCGUAAUUUAGGACGAAUAGCUCAGUAAAACUGCCAUGAUUUAGUCUAUUUGAAUAGAUAACUACGUGAAAAUGUAGCUAAGGGAGAAUAGAAUAAGACGCAGGACUAUCAGUUAGUUGGUAGUGUAAUGGACCAAGACUAUAAUGAUUAACGAGAAAUUAGGGUUUUAUACUUGGAAGGGAGCCUGAGAGAUUGCUCCCACGUCCAAGGACGGCAGCAGGCGCGAAAAUUGCCCACUCUUGUAGAAGGCAGUUAUGAGACGUGAAAUUGAAUAUCUUGUAAAGAAGGAUAAGAGAAUUCGAGGGCAAGUUUGGGUAUGAGAUAUGCUGCAGUUAAAAAGUCUGUAAUCAUAGAAGUGUGAAGGUUCUAGUUUUAAUGAUAGAGGAACCGAUGGGGAACAUAGUAUACCAGGGCGAGAUGAAAUACCAAGACCCCUGGUGGACUAAGCGAGGCGAAGGCGAUGUUCUUGCAGGUAUUUGAUGAUCAAGGACGAAGGCUGGAGUAUCGAAAGUGAUUAGAUGCCGCAGUAGUUCCAGCAGUAAAAGAUGCCGACAUGUUUAUUGGAAACGUGGACAGGGAGAAAUCUUAGAGUUCGGGCUCUGGGGAUAGUAUGCUCGCAAGGGUGAAAAUUAAAGAAAUU